rnacentral:rRNA from 1 species
AUUGAACGCUGGCGGCAGGCCUAACACAUGCAAGUCGAGCGGAGCGGCUGACGGGUGAGUAAUGCCUAGUACUCUGCCUGGUAGUGGGGGAUAACGUCCGGUAACGGGCGCUUAUACCGCAUCCUCUCAGAUCAGCCUAGGUCGGAUUAGCUAUUUGGUGGGGUAAAGGCCUACCAAGGCGACGAUCCGUAACUGGUCUGAGAGGAUGAUCAGUCACACUGGAACUGAGACACGGUCCAGACUCCUACGGGAGGCAGCAGUGGGGAAUAUUGGACAAUGGGCGAAAGCCUGAUCCAGCCAUGCCGCGUGUGUGAAGAAGGUCUUCGGAUUUUAAAGCACUUUAAGUUGGGAGGCGGUACCAAAAGAAGAAGCACCGGCUAACUUCGUGCCAGCAGCCGCGGUAAUAG